AGAGUUUGAUCCUGGCUCAGGACGAACGCUGGCGGCGCGCCUAACACAUGCAAGUCGAACGAGAGAGAGGAAGCUUGCUUCCUCAAUCGAGUGGCGAACGGGUGAGUAACGCGUGAGGAACCUGCCUCAAAGAGGGGGACAACAGUUGGAAACGACUGCUAAUACCGCAUAAGCCCACGGCUCGGCAUCGAGCAGAGGGAAAAGGAGCAAUCCGCUUUGAGAUGGCCUCGCGUCCGAUUAGCUAGUUGGUGAGGUAACGGCCCACCAAGGCGACGAUCGGUAGCCGGACUGAGAGGUUGAACGGCCACAUUGGGACUGAGACACGGCCCAGACUCCUACGGGAGGCAGCAGUGGGGAAUAUUGCACAAUGGGGGAAACCCUGAUGCAGCGACGCCGCGUGGAGGAAGAAGGUCUUCGGAUUGUAAACUCCUGUUGUUGAGGAAGAUAAUGACGGUACUCAACAAGGAAGUGACGGCUAACUACGUGCCAGCAGCCGCGGUAAAACGUAGGUCACAAGCGUUGUCCGGAAUUACUGGGUGUAAAGGGAGCGCAGGCGGGAAGACAAGUUGGAAGUGAAAUCCAUGGGCUCAACCCAUGAACUGCUUUCAAAACUGUUUUUCUUGAGUAGUGCAGAGGUAGGCGGAAUUCCCGGUGUAGCGGUGGAAUGCGUAGAUAUCGGGAGGAACACCAGUGGCGAAGGCGGCCUACUGGGCACCAACUGACGCUGAGGCUCGAAAGUGUGGGUAGCAAACAGGAUUAGAUACCCUGGUAGUCCACACCGUAAACGAUGAUUACUAGGUGUUGGAGGAUUGACCCCUUCAGUGCCGCAGUUAACACAAUAAGUAAUCCACCUGGGGAGUACGACCGCAAGGUUGAAACUCAAAGGAAUUGACGGGGGCCCGCACAAGCAGUGGAGUAUGUGGUUUAAUUCGA
rnacentral:rRNA from 1 species